rnacentral:rRNA from 1 species
AGGGAAUAUUGGACAAUGGGCGCAAGCCUGACCCAGCCAUCCCGCGUGAAGGAUGAAGGUCCUCUGGAUUGUAAACUUCUUUUCUUCGGGAAUAAAAACUGGGGUUCUCCUCAGCUUGAAGGUACCGAAGGAAUAAGCACCGGCUAACUCCGUGCCAGCAGCCGUGGUAAUACGGAGGGUGCAAGCGUUAUCCGGAUUCACUGGGUUUAAAGGGUGCGUAGGUGGCUUUGUAAGUCAGUGGUGAAAGCUCGGAGCUCAACUCCGAAACUGCCAUUGAUACUGCUUAGCUUGAAUCAGGUCGAGGUGGAUGGAAUGUGACAUGUAGCGGUGAAAUGCUUAGAUAUGUUACAGAACACCGAUUGCGAAGGCAGUUCACCAGCCCUGUAUUGACACUGAGGCACGAAAGCGUGGGGAUCAAAC